GCCGACGUAGCUCAGUGGUAGAGCAGCUCACUCGUAAUGAGCAGGUCGGGAGUUCGAAUCUCCCCGUCGGCU
rnacentral:tRNA from 1 species